CCUACGGGAGGCAGCAGUGAGGAAUAUUGGUCAAUGGGCGUAAGCCUGAACCAGCCAAGUCGCGUGAGGGAUGAAGGUCCUAUGGAUCGUAAACUUCUUUUAUAAGGGAAUAAAGUGAGGGACGUGUCCCGUUUUGUAUGUACUUUAUGAAUAAGGAUCGGCUCACUCCGUGCCAGCAGCCGCGGUAAUACGGAGGAUCCGAGCGUUAUCCGGAUUUAUUGGGUUUAAAGGGAGCGUAGAUGGGUUGUUAAGUCAGUUGUGAAAGUUUGUGGCUCAACCGUAAAAUUGCAAUUGAUACUGGCAGGCUUGAGUAUGUUUGAGGCAGGCGGAAUGCGUGGUGUAGCGGUGAAAUGCUUAGAUAUCACGAAGAACGCCGAUUGCGAAGGCAGCUUACUAAGCCGUGACUGACGCUGAUGCUCGAAAGCGUGGGGAUCAAACAGGAUUAGAUACCCCUGUAGUC
rnacentral:rRNA from 1 species